GAUGAAGAACGCAGCGAAAUGCGAUAAGUAAUGUGAAUUGCAGAAUUCAGUGAAUCAUCGAAUCUUUGAACGCACAUUGCGCCCGCCAGUAUUCUGGCGGGCAUGCCUGUCUGAGCGUCAUUUCAACCCUCAAGCCCCUAGGGCGUGGUGUUGGGGAUCGGCCAAAGCCCGCGAGGGACGGCCGGCCCCUAAAUCUAGUGGCGGACCCGUCGUGGCCUCCUCUGCGAAGUAGUGAUAUUCCGCAUCGGAGAGCGAUGAGCCCCUGCCGUUAAACCCCCAACUUUCCAAGGUUGACCUCAGAUCAGGUAGGAAUACCCGCUGAACUUAAGCAUAUCAAUAAGCGGAGGA
rnacentral:misc_RNA from 1 species